UUGCACGCUAGCGGGAUGCUUUACACAUGCAAGUCGAACGGCAGCGCGGACUUCGGUCUGGCGGCGAGUGGCGAACGGGUGAGUAAUGUAUCGGAACGUGCCCAGUAGCGGGGGAUAACUACGCGAAAGCGUAGCUAAUACCGCAUACGCCCUACGGGGGAAAGCAGGGGAUCGUAAGACCUUGCACUAUUGGAGCGGCCGAUAUCGGAUUAGCUAGUUGGUGAGGUAACGGCUCACCAAGGCGACGAUCCGUAGCUGGUUUGAGAGGACGACCAGCCACACUGGGACUGAGACACGGCCCAGACUCCUACGGGAGGCAGCAGUGGGGAAUUUUGGACAAUGGGGGCAACCCUGAUCCAGCCAUCCCGCGUGUGCGAUGAAGGCCUUCGGGUUGUAAAGCACUUUUGGCAGGAAAGAAACGUCGCGGGCUAAUACCCCGUGGAACUGACGGUACCUGCAGAAUAAGCACCGGCUAACUACGUG
rnacentral:rRNA from 1 species